CUUCCGCCGGCGACCGGCGCACGGGUGAGUAACACGUAUGCAACCUGCCCCUGUCAGGGGACAACCCGCCGAAAGGCGGGCUAAACCCGCGUACAUGCCACCGGGGCAUCCCGGAGGCAGGAAAGGCUUCGGCCGGACAGGGAUGGGCAUGCGGCGCAUUAGGCAGUAGGCGGGGUAACGGCCCACCUAACCGACGAUGCGUAGGGGUUCUGAGAGGAAGGUCCCCCACACUGGUACUGAGACACGGACCAGACUCCUACGGAAGGCAGCAG
rnacentral:rRNA from 1 species